GAUGAACGCUAGCGGCAGGCCUAAUACAUGCAAGUCGAACGGUGUCUUCGGACAUAGUGGCGCACGGGUGCGUAACACGUAUGCAACCUACCUUACAUUGGGGGAUAGCCUUUCGAAAGGGAGAUUAAUACCGCAUAAGACAGUAGCUGGGCAUCCAGCAGCUGUUAAAGAUUUAUCGAUGUAAGCUGGGCAUGCGUCCAAUUAGCUAGUUGGUGAGGUAACGGCUCACCAAGGCAAUGAUUGGUAGGGGAACUGAGAGGUCAAUCCCCCACACUGGCACUGAGAUACGGGCCAGACUCCUACGGGAGGCAGCAGUAGGGAAUAUUGGGCAAUGGACGCAAGUCUGACCCAGCCAUGCCGCGUGCAGGAUGAAGGCGUUAUGUAUUGUAAACUGCUUUUAUACAGGAAGAAACGACUCUUGCGAGAGGCAUUGACGGUACUGUAUGAAUAAGCACCGGCUAACUCCGUGCCAGCCGCCGCGGUAACAC
rnacentral:rRNA from 1 species